rnacentral:rRNA from 1 species
GACGAACGCUGGCGGCGUGCUUAACACAUGCAAGUCGAACGGUAAGGCCCUUCGGGGUACACGAGUGGCGAACGGGUGAGUAACACGUGGGUGAUCUGCCCUGCACUUCGGGAUAAGCCUGGGAAACUGGGUCUAAUACCGGAUAGGACCACUGCCUGCAUGGGUGGUGGUGGAAAGCUUUUGCGGUGUGGGAUGGGCCCGCGGCCUAUCAGCUUGUUGGUGGGGUGAUGGCCUACCAAGGCGACGACGGGUAGCCGGCCUGAGAGGGUGACCGGCCACACUGGGACUGAGAUACGACCCAGACUCCUACGGGAGGCAGCAGUGGGGAAUAUUGCACAAUGGGCGCAAGCCUGAUGCAGCGACGCCGCGUGGGGGAUGACGGCCUUCGGGUUGUAAACCUCUUUCAGCACCGACGAAGCGCAAGUGACGGUAGGUGCAGAAGAAGGACCGGCCGACUACGUGCCAGCCGCCGCCGUAA